AGGCAGGUGCACGAUGCAGGGCGGUCAUGAUGAUGCCGAUUCUGCUCACCGGACCUUUCUA
rnacentral:tRNA from 1 species